CUGUGUGCUGUUACUCUCUCCAGUGUAUCUUUCCCAACAUGCUGAACACCCACCCUCUUCAGGACCUCGAUUCUCCCUCUCGAGCCACCAUUAAAGGAGAAAAUAUCAUUCUCCUGCCCAGUUACCUGACUUGCACCACCGCGGGUUCAAGAACCACCUGGAACCAGCCCUGCCUCCACCCAGGAACAUCAUCACUACCUUAGUGUCUCCAAGGCACAGGCUGUAUCCUGAGAAGUGCUCCAUCCCCAGCACCCCGCACAGAGCAUGGCACAGAGCAGGUGCAUAGCAAGACUGCAGAGUCCGGUGAUGGCUUAGUGGACCCCAGGACAUGUCAGAGACAAAUAGAGAUGACCCUGACCCAGAGUUGUAAUACUUUGUUCACCCCCAAAGUGAGGUGGAAAAACUGGAUGGUUUUCAGUCUCAGACAAAUGAAGGAAGAAAACUAAAUAACUCAACUUUGAACUCCAAACAUCUUGGCAACUUCGGGCUACCUGAAGGCUCCAGGUGGGAUCCUGCCGUGUCUUCCUCCAAGUCUCAAUUUCCAUGGACGUUUUCUGGAUGAGAAACUAAAUAAGGCACAAACUCUACUGAGCACAACUUGGUGGAAUCUUGGCCAGGAAUUUUUAAAAACAGUAAUGGCAGACUCUAUUAAAGAACUUAGGGAUUUUU